rnacentral:rRNA from 1 species
CCUACGGGAGGCAGCAGUGGGGAAUAUUGCACAAUGGGGGAAACCCUGAUGCAGCGACGCCGCGUGAGUGAAGAAGUAUCUCGGUACGUAAAGCUCUAUCAGCAGGGAAGAAAAUUACGGUACCUGACUAAUAAGCCCCGGCGAAAUCCGUGCCAGCAGCCGCGGUAAUACGUUGGGGGCAAGCGUUAUCCGGAUUUACUGGGUGUAACGGGAGCGUAGACGGCAGCACAAGUCUGGAGUGAAAUCCCGGGGCUUAACCCCGGAACUGCUUUGGAAACUGGGCGGCUGGAGUGAAGGAGGGGUAAGCGGAAUUCCUAGUGUAGCGGUGAAAUGCGUAGAUAGUAGGAGGAACACCGGUGGCGAAGGCGGCUUACUGGACUGAAACUGACGUUGAGGCUCGAAAGCGUGGGGAGCAAACAGGAUUAGAUACCCCGGUAGUC